rnacentral:misc_RNA from 1 species
UUGAAUGAACUUGGCAUGAUUGUAGCUGGUCCUUUCGAGGGCAUGUGCACAUCUGUCAUCUUUAUCUUUCCACCUGUGCACCAAUUGUAGGUCUAAAAAUUUUUCCCCGAGACACUCGGGGGAGCAUGGGGCGUUGCUGUGUGUUACCACCAGCUUGCCCUGCAUUUUCUAGAUCUAUGUUUUCACAUACACCAUAAAAUGUAAUAGAAUGUUAUUAUUGGGCUUUUAUUGCCUAUAAACUAUAUA